GCCGAUUGUGAGACGCUUGGACGGAGAAAAGCUCUGGUACUAUCCAACACCAAUUGGGAAGCUCCUCCAAGUUGUUGCUUUAACAAAUGAAAUAUGCACAAAUUUAUGGAUCACUUCCGACGACGACGACGAAAGAACUUGAGGCGAUGUGAGCUUGGAUGGUGCAUGAGAUGAGAUCCGUGUUAGUUGGAUGGAUGAAGGAAAGUGGUCUCGAUCUUCCUCACUUUGCUCGUAAUAUGUUGUCAAGUCUUUUGCAAGGCAGAAGAAAUAGACUUUGAAAGUAAAUAUUUUGCGUGUGUUUACAAGGGACGAUAUUGAUUUAAUAAACAUUUUAUAUUAAGCUGA